rnacentral:misc_RNA from 1 species
CACCACUGCAAGAGGGGAAGUUGCUACUGUGAUGAAUUCUGCCAUGUGGCACCAGACUGCCACCCAGACCACAGUGUCCUCUGCAACCCUGGUAACUCACAUACAGGCCCGAUUCCACCGACAGCAAAGCUGGAUGCUAUGGCUGGCAGAGGCAAACCCUUUGCCUGCACUUCAGGCCAAAGCCGGGAUGUGGCCUAGAUGGUUCCUAAGCUUCUCAGAUGACCAAGAUGGUGCUGCAGAUGGUGCUGAGGAUGGAGAACCCACCAAGCCCCGCUAGGAGCCACCUAGACUGGAUGCAGAGCAUGGACAAUUUGCUGAGGUCUGGGAGCACCCCCUCCAGAGAGUCCCUGAUCUCUCAAAACUUGGUCGUGAUCUAAAGUUUAUUUGAUGUACAACUCCCCCUCCCCUUCUUUUGGAGUUUUAUUUGCUUCCAAGAAGGAAGGCAAGAUUUCCUGGGUCCGUGAUGAUGGAAGGCUGACAACUCUUUUAUGGAGUUUGAGCUUGCUCCCAG